rnacentral:rRNA from 1 species
AGCAGCCGCGGUAAUUCCAGCUCCAAUAGCGUAUAUUAAAGUUGUUGCAGUUAAAAAGCUCGUAGUUGAAUUUCGGGAUCAAUUUAUUGGUCGUGCUAUUGUACGUACUGGUAUUAUUGAUUCCUACCUUCUGACGAACCAUGAUGUCAUUAAUUUGGUGUCUUGGGGAAUCAGGACUGUUACUUUGAAAAAAUUAGAGUGUUUAAAGCAGGCUCACGCUUGAAUACAUUAGCAUGGAAUAACGAAAUAGGACGUUUGAUUCUAUUUUGUUGGUUUCUAGGAUCGACGUAAUGAUUAAUAGGGAUAGUUGGGGGCAUUAGUAUUCAAUUGUCAGAGGUGAAAUUCUUGGAUUUAUUGAAGACUAACUACUGCGAAAGCAUUUGCCAAGGAUGUUUUCAUUAAUCAAGAACGAAAGUUAGGGGAUCGAAGACGAUCAGAUACCGUCGUAGUCUUAACCAUAAACUAUGCCGACUAGGGAUCGGAUGAUGUUAAUUUUUUAAUGACUCAUUCGGCGCCUUAA